GGCGCCCAAAAGAAAAUUCCUUCCUCUAUGAAAUUGUGUCCAACAAAAAAAACGGCGUUGAUGUGGACAAGUUUGACUACUUGGCCAGGGACUCUUCCUACCUGGGGAUCAAGAACAACUUUGACUUUCAUCGCUUCCUGCAGUUUGCCAGAGUGUGUGAGGUUGAUGGCAGGAAAACUAUCUGCACCAGAGACAAGGAGGAAGACCAUAUGUACGACUUGUUCUAUACAAGACACCG